rnacentral:lncRNA from 1 species
GGCUUAUCUGGGAGUGAUUGUGUGGGUGGGUGGCGGAACCAGGGUCGUGUGGACAGGUACGUGGGAAAUGUUGAGAUGGUUUAACAUGGUGACCUUACAUGGUAAGAAGUGGGAGAGUUGAUGAUUCUCUUUGAGGAGAUGAUGUAGGUACAGUAAGGGUAGGAGAACAAGGGGAUAAGAGUGUGGGUAGGAAAUAUGGUGUGGCCAAUGGAAGUGGAGAUCUUAAGGGAUAGGCAUUUAACUGGUUUGUCGUACCUUGUCUAUAAUUUGAGUUU